AAUGAACGCUGGCGGCGUGCUUAACACAUGCAAGUCGAACGAGAAAGGCUGAUUUCGGUUGGCCGAGUAAAGUGGCGCACGGGUGAGUAACGCGUAGGUAACCUACCCUUGUAUCGGGGAUAACCCCGCGAAAGCGGUGCUAAUACCGGAUACGAUCCCGGGGCGGGAGUUUCGGGAUGAAAGUCGGCCUCUCGGAGAAGCUGACGUACGAGGAUGGGCCUGCGUCCUAUCAGCUGGUUGGUGGGGUAGCGGCCUACCAAGGCGACGACGGGUAGCUGGUCUGAGAGGAUGAUCAGCCACACUGGCACUGGAACACGGGCCAGACUCCUACGGGAGGCUG
rnacentral:rRNA from 1 species